UAGAGUUUGAUCAUGGCUCAGAUUGAACGCUGGCGGCAGGCCUAACACAUGCAAGUCGAACGGUAGCACAGAGAGCUUGCUCUUGGGUGACGAGUGGCGGACGGGUGAGUAAAGUCUGGGAAACUGCCUGAUGGAGGGGGAUAACCACUGGAAACGGUGGCUAAUACCGCAUAAUCUCGCGAGAGCAAAGUGGGGGACCUUAAUGGCCUCACGCCAUCGGAUGUGCCCAGAUGGGAUUAGCUUGUUGGUGGGGUAAAGGCUCACCAAGGCGACGAUCCCUAGCUGGUCUGAGAGGAUGACCAGCCACACUGGAACUGAGACACGGUCCAGACUCCUACGGGAGGCAGCAGUGGGGAAUAUUGCACAAUGGGCGCAAGCCUGAUGCAGCCAUGCCGCGUGUGUGAAGAAGGCCUUCGGGUUGUAAAGCACUUUCAGCGGGGAGGAAGGUGGUAUGGUUAAGAGCCAUAUCAAUUGACGUUACCCGCAGAAGAAGCACCGGCUAACUCCGUGCCAGCAGCCGCGGUAAUACGGAGGGUGCAAGCGUUAAUCGGAAUUACUGGGCGUAAAGCGCACGCAGGCGGUCUGACAAGUCAGAUGUGAAAUCCCCGGGCUUAACCUGGGAACUGCAUUUGAAACUGUCAGGCUGGAGUCUUGUAGAGGGGGGUAGAAUUCCAGGUGUAGCGGUGAAAUGCGUAGAGAUCUGGAGGAAUACCGGUGGCGAAGGCGGCCCCCUGGACAAAGACUGACGCUCAGGUGCGAAAGCGUGGGGAGCAAACAGGAUUAGAUACCCUGGUAGUCCACGCUGUAAACGAUGUCGACUUGGAGGUUGUUCCCUUGAGGAGUGGCUUCCGGAGCUAACGCGUUAAGUCGACCGCCUGGGGAGUACGCCGCAAGGUUAAAACUCAAAUGAAUUGACGGG
rnacentral:rRNA from 1 species